UGGGGAAUAUUGGACAAUGGGCGCAAGCCUGAUCCAGCCAUGCCGCGUGAGUGAUGAAGGCCCUAGGGUUGUAAAGCUCUUUCACCGGUGAAGAUAAUGACGGUAACCGGAGAAGAAGCCCCGGCUAACUUCGUGCCAGCAGCCGCGGUAAUACGAAGGGGGCUAGCGUUGUUCGGAUUUACUGGGCGUAAAGCGCACGUAGGCGGACUUUUAAGUCAGGGGUGAAAUCCCGGGGCUCAACCCCGGAACUGCCUUUGAUACUGGAAGUCUUGAGUAUGGUAGAUGUGAGUGGAAUUCCGAGUGUAGAGGUGAAAUUCGUAGAUAUUCGGAGGAACACCAGUGGCGAAGGCGGCUCACUGGACCAUUACUGACGCUGAGGUGCGAAAGCGUGGGGAGCAAACAGG
rnacentral:rRNA from 1 species